AGAAGAAGAUCCACACUUCCGGGUGGUGAUGACGUCGCGUCGUGACGUCAUAUUUCAAAAUGGCAGAGCCCGCGGAAAGACCCCCUGGAGUCGACUCCAUUUCCCAAGAAAAGAUGUCAACAGCGCGACUUGUAACAAUUAUAAGGCCGAGGAGGGUUAUUUGAACACACACCAUUCAAUUAUUAUAAAUGAAAGUCACGUUUUUUAACCGCUCCGGUCUCGUCCCAGCGGAAGUGACGCUAGCACGUCAUCAGAAUACAACAGAUCAACACGACGAGAGAGACAUUCUGCCGCUAGACAAAGGUCACCGAGCAGCGACGAAGUUUGCAUUUUCGGUAGAGGUCCAGGGAGCCACGAGGGCGGUGCUAAAGAGACGCGGGUUGCUGACCCCCGGCCUACACCCGAGACUGGCCGCCAGUUCAUCACAGGACACAUGAACAAGCCUUCGCCCUCAAAUCAGAGAAAAACAACAACACCAGAAAUGUGUCCCGUGAAAAACCGUCCGACCAGAACUCUAAUAACUAAAGUUCCUUGGGUGAAUAAUGGUAACUCACUACACCGGUAUGUUUUAGGGCUUUCAUGGCGAGUUUACUGACUGAAAUAAGUAAUAACUUUACACUGCUUUUUAUUAGAAAUGGCAACAGCAGAGGAUGGAUGUCCCAUAACAAGAAGGUGGAGAAAAAGAAGAAGCUUAUCGACUACGGUGUCGGCACGGACUACA